AAGAACCAGACAGUCAGCAGCUACUAAGAAGCUAAAUGCUCAGCUUGUGUUCAGCCCAGAGGGCCUCAAGGCUGUUUUCAGUUCCAGUCCAAACAAUUUGUACACCUGUUGAGGAGAAAAUAAAAUAUGACAGCAGCACAAAGUCCAGAGGAUUUAAGCGAUUUACACAGAGGCCUUAAAUCUGAGCAGAAAAGGCCAGGGUACUUAACAAGCCCUUCUCAGGGCCCUGUGUUCUCAUGGAGUGCGAGCAUGCAGAGACAUUUAGGCUCUGACCGUAUUCUGAGCGGGCUGAACAUACACUCUAUAUCUUUGAUGUUGCCAUAAUUGUGUGUGUGAUCCUUAAUCACAGAUGUCAACCAAUUUUAUUAAAUCUAAUGUAGAUAAAACC
rnacentral:lncRNA from 1 species